AUACAGCAAGUACUACUCCUCCAAGGCCUCUGCAUCAGUUCUUCCCUCCGAGUUCCUGCCCAGACUUCCUUCAGUGAUAGACUGAGAUGUGGAACUGCAGCCUGGAGAGAAGUAGAGGAGACUAGUUGCAGGAUGCUGGAUUGCAUAGCCCUCCAGGGAUCACACACAGGAUGAAGACUCAGCAGACGGGCAGCUAGGAUCUGGUUCCUUCCACUCAACAGUCAGUGCAGUGUGGGCAGCCCUCUGAUCCAGGCCAGGGCUUCUUCAGGGGUGGAAAGGAAAAAGAGAGGCGUGAGUGGAGAAAAGAGUCGUGGAAUGAGGGGCUAUCCCAGUUUGUUCACAGGAAGGCUGGGCAGGGUUCCUGAAGAGUGUGCUGAAGCUUGUUCAGGAGUGGAACACCAUAACUUCUUCCAGAUUUUGUUGGUCAAAGUGUACCUAGAGGACAACUCAGACUCAGAGAAAAUGGAGAGAAUCUCACCAUGUCAUGGGAAAGUCUGCAAAGGAUUGUGAGUAUGGCAUAGUAAAUAACAACAACAACAGCUACUACAACUUAUCAUCAUCAUCACCAUCAUCAUAGUCAUCAUCAUCACUUUGCAAACAAUCUAGAAUAAUGUUUCAACAAGUUUUCAAAGAAGACAGCCCUAGGAACUUCAUUUACAGUUUGCUCUGAUGGGCUCACCUGACUUGUGAGUUUCAGAGGUGCUGGUUUACACCUGAAAAAUGAGACUAUUCUGAGAAUUAUAGAAUCAAGGCCAUCAGCACAAUGACUUCACAUUGGAAAAAUCCACCCCCUGGAAUUCAUGAAUAUCUUCAAAGAAGUGAUUCUUAUACGCAUGAACCAUAGGGGCCCAGGCUUCAAGUCCCCAUUCAUUUGCCCUACACAGCAGACUCAAGGAUAACGCUGUUCACAGAACCUUGUACUGUUAUUAGAAGUCAUCAUGCAUUUGGUUUUUCUGUCACUUUUAAGAGUCCAGUCCUGACCUGGCCUGAUUCUCCCUCAAAGCCACAGUUGUCAAGGAGCCUCCACAGAGACCCACAGUCUGCACAACUGCUCAGAAAGCUAAAGUCAACUGGGAACUAAAGACUUCCAGAGCUCAGAGAUUUUCUGUUUGGCUAGACACAGUGUUCAUUUAGAUUGAACAGACAGAGCUGCUGUUGGGAAGUAGGUAUGCGAGCAGUCUUCUGAGAUGGUAAGUCAACUCCUGGCUGCUCAGCUCGGAGGCUUGGAGAAAGUUUAAUUUUGAUUAUAGUUAAAAUAUACUGCACAGCAAAGCACUCCAAAGCCAUGGUCAAUGGCUAGAAGCAUUGUGUUUCUUUCCUUCUGUGUCUAGGGGUGACUGGAGGCUAAGCUGACCUUGACUGGGUCAUGCCUCACUUCAGAAAAUGGACUAGGUCCAUGCUAUUGUAAGCUUUAACUGUCAACUUAACACAGUCUAGAAGGGAGUCUCAAUUGAUGGUUUGCCCAGAUCAGAUUCACCUGUGAACAUGUCCUUGGAGGUUGUCUUGGUUGUUAAUUAAUUGAUGUAGGAGGACCCAGCCCACUUUGGGAGUCAUCAUCUCUAGACAAGUGGGCUAUAUAGGUAAGCGAGCUGAGCAUAAUCCAGAGAGUAAACCAGUAAGCAUCCUCCUUCACAGUUUGUGUAUCAAGCUCCUGCCUAAAUUCCUGCCCUCAAUGAUGGACUGUGACCUGUGAGCCA